CUGUUGUUCUUUUUUUAGCUCUUGAAGUGUAGUCACGAGAAGUGUGUUCUUUUAAUGUGCCCUUUUAGAAACACUGUUUUCUUUGGAGAGUGUGCUGCUGUCCUCUGCAGCACCAGCUCGUUACUGUUCAUCAUUGUUCACAUGUACUGCGUGUAUUGGAUGUGGACGCUGGAGGAGGAUGUGUCCUAAUGAAUACCCUGUCUCCGUGGUGAGAACCUGAGUUAUUCUCCAGAGAAAGCUACGUUUCCUUCUCCCCGACGAUCGGGCCCUGUUAUAGCUCCGUAAAGGACUGUAACCACAUUCAAGUUGGGGGCUCCGUGUUCAUUUAUGGCCGCAGUGCUGUCCUGUUUCAGUUAUGUCCUAAUCCCGUGUCGACUAUAUCAACUGUCAUCUGAUUCCAUCGUAUUUUGGACUUAAGUUGAUAUUUUCUUUAGUUUCUGUUUGCUUUCACAAAGUUUCCAUUUUCUUUUGAAUUGAUAUUAGUUGCAGAGAUUGGUGUUAGAAUUUGAGCCUUAAUUCCUGCUCCUCUCUCAAUUUAAUUCAUUUGGAUUGUUUCUUAUUGUUUUCUCAUUUGUAUUUGAUUUUGCUUUUGGACUGUAAUCCUUGUUCCUCUCUUGAUCUAAUUUAUUUUCCUAAUUGUUUUCUUCAUUUGAUUUUUGCUUCCAAAGUUGAGUUUUCUAUUUUUCAAUUAUUUUGAAAUAAUCGCUUAUUUCUUUGGCGUGGGGUAUUUUGCUCCCACCUGCCUGAAUUGUUUUUUUGAUUAAUAAUUUUGACUGAAGUUUGGUUUAUUUUCUUUAAUUAUUUCUUUAUACAUUUUGCUACUGUUGACAUUUGGAUUUAGUUUCAACUAACUGUUUAUUUCAAUAUACUAAUUGUAAUUAUUUUGGUUUCUUGAUUUAGGUGUUAAUAACCUUUCCAGCCAUCAAAGUGUUUUUUUAUUAUUAUUUUCUGAAUCUGACGUGUACCUUUUGUGUGUGUGUUAGCAGGGCCUGAGUACCGGGGGCAGAGGAUUCUUAUUUGGGUGACGGUAUCUUUUUCACCGUGUGCAGUGCUUGGAAUUAACACCCCUGUGUGUGUGUGUGUGUGUGUGUGUGUGCGUGAGCACAGUGCAGUGGUUCUGCACCCGUCGGUGGUACGCUACGACUCCCUGCCUCGGUGUCUCUUGUCCUUGUUUAGACCUGCUGCUAAACCUCUAAGGGUUCAUUGAAUUUGGACAAAGUGUCCUAUAUCCUUUUUAUA